CACCUUGAAAUCUCAUAGAAGCAGGCCUAUCCCAAUAGGAUUGAAGCUAAGAUCAUGUAUAGAAAAUCCCAAGCCUUUAGCACUAGACUAUCUCCCUUAAGACUAACUUUUUUAAUUCUUUGCUGAACUUGUUUACAUGAUUAAGAUUAUGGAGUUGAUCACCAAGGUAUGGAUCUACUCUUGCUCUUAAAGGUGUGGGCUACCUCAUUCGCAAGGGUAUUGAUGGAAGAUCUUAUACGUAACUGUGGUUCUUGAUUUCUCCUUAGUCCUUAUUUGGUUGAAUAUAAACUGAAGAAAAUUAUGUCUCCUCUUUUCUUGUAAGUGUACGGAUAUGAAACGUAUUUGUUCAACUAAAAAAAAUAGUAACAAUUUGUUUGAUUUGCAAAUUAGUUGAAUUUGAUCAAUGAAAGUUCUUAUUGGCUUAA